rnacentral:rRNA from 1 species
AGAGUUUGAUCAUGGCUCAGAAUCAACGCUGGCGGCGUGCCUAACACAUGCAAGUCGCACGAGAAAGUGGAGCAAUCCAUGAGUAAAGUGGCGUACGGGUGAGUAACACGUGACUAACCUACCUUCGAGUGGGGAAUAACCUCGGGAAACCGGGGCUAAUACCGCAUAACAUCUUCUGGCUGAGAUGCCGGUUGAUCAAAGUAGCAAUGCGCUUGAAGAGGGGGUCGCGGCUGAUUAGCUAGUUGGUGAGGUAACGGCUCACCAAGGCGAUGAUCAGUAGCCGGCCUGAGAGGGCGCUCGGUCACACUGGAACUGAAACACGGUCCAGACUCCUACGGGAGGCAGCAGUGGGGAAUUUUGCGCAAUGGGGGAAACCCUGACGCAGCAACGCCGCGUGGAGGAUGAAGUCCCUUGGGACGUAAACUCCUUUCGAUCGGGACGAUUAUGACGGUACCGGAAGAAGAAGCCCCGGCUAACUUCGUGCCAGCAGCCGCGGUAAUACGAGGGGGGCAAGCGUUGUUCGGAAUUAUUGGGCGUAAAGGGCGCGUAGGCGGUGCGGUAAGUCUGUUGUGAAAUCUCCGGGCUCAACUCGGAGCUUGCAUCAGAAACUGCCGUGCUUGAGUGUGGGAGAGGUGAGUGGAAUUCCCGGUGUAGCGGUGAAAUGCGUAGAUAUCGGGAGGAACGCCUGUGGCGAAAGCGGCUCACUGGACCACAACUGACGCUGAUGCGCGAAAGCUAGGGGAGCAAACAGGAUUAGAUACCCUAGUAGUCC